CCCGCCGCAGUUACCCUUUCCUUCAGAUUCCAAUCUUUCACGCCGUCGCUACUCCUCGAUAUGUUCCCUUUUAGGCUGGGAUGACUGAUGAGAUAUACAUUAUCAAAUUCUCGCCCACCAAUUUCUGUUGGCUACAGUGGUGGAGACGGCUAUAAAGGAUGAGGAAAUGGCAACGUAAGCGUUUGGGAGGAGUGCUUGCAGGAACAGGAGAUUCUAGUACCUUUUUAUCUUUUCAUAUGGUCGCAUCCUCGAUCCCUCUUCCGUCCUCAAAAUGGAUUUACUGAUUACAUCUCCAUUGCAGGUACCACGUGCACCAUGGCUGGUUUGCUGCUCUCUAGGCUUUGACGACUCCAUAUAUUGCCAAAGGCCUUCAUCAUGUUUCUCUCAUAAUUCAUAUCACUAAUUCCUCUUGAAAUUGUUGUUUUUGCUUCUAAUCAAACACCAUAGAUUUUCAUAUUUUUAAUACUGAUUGUGUAACUAGUCGAUAGUUGUUCUUGCUGCAUUUUAGCUCUCUGUAAAAGAUGUCUAAUAGAUUAUUAUGAUUUUGGACUAUAUUUGGAGUUAAUAUCUAA